UACGUAGGUGGCAAGCGUUGUCCGGAUUUACUGGGUGUAAAGGGAGCGUAGACGGCGAUGCAAGUCUGAUGUGAAAACCCGAGGCUCAACCACGGGAUUGCAUUGGAAACUGUAUUGCUUGAGUGCUGGAGGGGCAAGCGGAAUUCCUGGUGUAGCGGUGAAAUGCGUAGAUAUCAGGAGGAACAUCGGUGGCGAAGGCGGCUUGCUGGACUGUAACUGACGCUGAGUCACGAAAGCGUGGGUAGCAAACAGGAUUA
rnacentral:rRNA from 1 species